AAACACGAAACAAAGAGGUCACUCCAUUCUUGUGACCAGAGACAAGGUCAAGUAUCCCAGGUCCAGAGAUUUUGUCAUUGUCAGCAAGCAAGCCGGAGGAAUCAUGCAUAAAGUGUACGCAACUCAAGAAAAAGGAACAUACCGAUAUUUUGCUGCUGUAAGGGCCUCGUUGGAAGAUGUCAUUCAGUAUGCCAACUUUAACCAAACAGUUCCUGUCCG